rnacentral:rRNA from 1 species
CUCUGUGCUCCUACGGGAGGCAGCAGUGGGGAAUAUUGCACAAUGGGCGCAAGCCUGAUGCAGCAACGCCGUGUGAGUGAAGAAGGUUUUCGGAUCGUAAAACUCUGUCCUAAGGGAAGAAACAAAUGACGGUACCUUAGGAGGAAGCCCCGGCUAACUACGUGCCAGCAGCCGCGGUAAUACGUAGGGGGCAAGCGUUAUCCGGAAUCACUGGGCGUAAAGGGUGCGUAGGCGGCUUAGCAAGCCAGGGGUGAAAGGCAUUGGCUCAACCAAUGUAAGCCUUUGGAACUGUUAAGCUUGAGUGCAGGAGAGGUAAGUGGAAUUCCUAGUGUAGAGGUGAAAUUCGUAGAUAUUAGGAGGAACACCAGUGGCGAAGGCGACUUACUGGACUGUAACUGACGCUGAUGCACGAAAGCGUGGGUAGCGAACAGGAUUAGAUACCCUGGUAG